AUUGAACGCUGGCGGCAGGCCUAACACAUGCAAGUCGAACGAGUGGCGGACGGGUGAGUAAUGUCUGGGAAACUGCCCGAUGGAAGGGGAUAACUACUGGAAACGGUAGCUAAUACCGCAUACCAUCGGAUGUGCCCAGAUGGGAUUAGCUGGUAGGUGAGGUAACGGCUCACCUAGGCGACGAUCCCUAGCUGGUCUGAGAGGAUGACCAGCCAAACUGGAACUGAUACACGGUCCAGACUCCUACUGGAGGCAGCAGUGGUGAAUAUUGCACAAUGGGCUCAAGCCUGAUGCAGCCAUGCCGCGGGUAUGAAGAAGGCCUUCGGGUUGUAAAGUACUUGCAGCGGGGAGGCGUUACCCGCAGAAGAAGCACCGGCUAACUCCGUGCCAGCAGCCGCGGUAAUUC
rnacentral:rRNA from 1 species